rnacentral:lncRNA from 1 species
UACAGAACCACAAUUGCCACCACUACCUACUCUUCCAUUGCCACUUACAGAACCACAAUUGCCACCAAUUCCAAACUUAGGUGUUCCAAUUCCUGAUAUUCCUGUUGUACCAAUUAUCCCUCAAAUUCCUCAAAUUUCAACUAUGCCUCAAAUACCUCAAAUUCCUAAGCCAGAGUUACCUAUUGUGCCUAAACCAUAAGUGCCUAAAAAUU